GGAUCUGCGGUGGGUACCGGGCAGACUAGAGUGAUGUAGGGGGAGACUGGAAUUCCUGGUGUAGCGGUGAAAUGCGCAGAUAUCAGGAGGAACACCGAUGGCGAAGGCAGGUCUCUGGGCAUUAACUGACGCUGAGGAGCGAAAGCAUGGGGAGCGAACAGGAUUAGAUACCCUGGUAGUCCAUGCCGUAAACGUUGGGCACUAGGUGUGGGGGACAUUCCACGUUUUCCGCGCCGUAGCUAACGCAUUAAGUGCCCCGCCUGGGGAGUACGGCCGCAAGGCUAAAACUCAAAGGAAUUGACGGGGGCCCGCACAAGCGGCGGAGCAUGCGGAUUAAUUCGAUGCAACGCGAAGAACCUUACCAAGGCUUGACAUAAACCGGAAAGACCUGGAAACAGGUCCCCCACUUGUGGCCGGUUUACAGGUGGUGCAUGGCUGUCGUCAGCUCGUG
rnacentral:rRNA from 1 species